rnacentral:rRNA from 1 species
GACGAACGCUGGCGGCGUGCUUAACACAUGCAAGUCGAACGGAAAGGCCUGCUUUCCCUUGUGGAUUGCGGGUACUCGAGUGGCGAACGGGUGAGUAACACGUGAGUGAUCUGCCCCCAACUUGGGUAUAAGCCUGGGAAACUGGGUCUAAUUCCCGAUAGGACUGCAGGGUGGUGCCUGUGGUGGAAAACGAUUUUCUAGUGGUUGGGGAUGAGCUCGCGGCCUAUCAGCUUGUUGGUGGGGUAAUGGCCUACCAAGGCGGCGACGGGUAGCCGGCCUGAGAGGGUGGACGGCCACAUUGGGACUGAGAUACGGCCCAGACUCCUACGGGAGGCAGCAGUGGGGAAUAUUGCACAAUGGGCGGAAGCCUGAUGCAGCGAUGCCGCGUGGGGGAUGACGGCCUUCGGGUUGUAAACUCCUUUCGACCGCGAGGAAGCCACCUGGUUGGAAGGGUGGUGACGGUAGUGGUAGAAGAAGCACCGGCUAACUACGUG